UACGAAGGGUGCAAGCGUUACUCGGAAUCACUGGGCGUAAAGCGUGCGUAGGCGGUUCGUUAAGUCUGCUGUGAAAGCCCUGGGCUCAACCUGGGAACUGCAGUGGAUACUGGCGGACUAGAGUGUGAUAGAGGAUGGUGGAAUUCCCGGUGUAGCGGUGAAAAUGCGUAGAGAUCGGGAGGAACACCAGUGGCGAAGGCGGCCAUCUGGAUCAACACUGACGCUGAGGCACGAAAAGCGUGGGGGAGCAAACAGG
rnacentral:rRNA from 1 species